CGCCGAGAGGAGAGGCGAGGCGGGGAGCGCGAGCGGCGGCCACUGCCACGUAUUCCCGGCAGUGGCGGYGGAGGUGGCGGCGCCCGCGGCAGGAAUAUUCAAGAUACCUUUACUGGAAAUCAUUUUGCUGAAAUUAUUGAAACAGUGAUUCUUGAAUUUGAAGACAAGGGUUAUUCUCCUUUCCCUACCCCAAAGCCCACUCUUAGGAGACUUCAGAGAACACUGAGACACUGCUGGGAAUCUCUCUCCCCGUCUUGACUACAGGAGUGUGGACCUUUCUUCACGGCCUCUCUGGACACACUGUCUUGCAUCCUCCAGGAAAGAUGCGGCAGCUCAAAGGGAAGCCCAAGAAGGAGACAUCCAAGGACAAGAAGGAGCGGAAGCAGGCCAUGCAGGAGGCCCGACAACAGAUCACCACAGUGGUGCUGCCCACACUGGCUGUGGUGGUGCUUCUGAUAGUGGUGUUUGUGUAUGUGGCCACACGCCCCACCAUCACCGAGUGAGCACCUGGCUGCCAAGGACUCCUUGGGCAGGGAGGGGGAAGCAAAUGAAAAAUGGCUUUCAUGUGCAGAGAUGUUCCUGCUGCUGAGCUCUAAGCAGGAACACCCUGCUUCUCUGGUCUUUGACUUGAUUAAAGUUUCUCCACUUUUCUUGGGAGGGAAUAGGGAACGUUUUAUCAGUAAACGUGCCAUACACCUUAUGGUCCACUUCAUGUGCCUUUCAGACUUCAAAGCAGUGUGUGUGUGUGUGUGUGUUUCUCUCAUAAAUCGAUAUGUAGCUCCACCUGGUGAGAGGAGGACUUUGGGUCAUGAAGCAGCUGGAAUCAGUGCUCACCUCAUCCCCAUUGUUUGGAACAUGCCACUUCCUACACGUGUUCACAAUUUCCAAAGGGACUGUAUGUCUUCUCUGUGCUUAAUGUGAUUUGAAAUAUGUUGACUCAAAGUGAAAUAUUUAUUUUUUGAAUAAAGGAGA